CAAAUAAAUGCUUGUAUUGAGAUAAAAACUGUGUCUUUAUUCUAAGAGUCGUUCCAAUCUAUGCAUCAACCCAUAUAUACAGGUAGAACAAACUAUCCACUGCUAAAUAAAUUAGUAAAUCAUUAUUCAACAACUAUUAUAUCAUAAACAAAAAGACAAAGAUAACAACCAAGUUCCCCCUACGGGCCCACCCCCCAAAAAAAUGCAGUUACUCCCCUAACAUCAAUGUCCAAGAAGAACUCUUGUUUGUGAGAUGAAAACUUACUCCAAA
rnacentral:misc_RNA from 1 species